UACGGGGGGUGCGAGCGUUGUCCGGAUUCACUGGGCGUAAAGGGCGCGUAGGCGGCUUAUUCAGUCCGGCCUUUAAGAGCGGGGCUCACCCCCGUGCGGGGUCGGGGACGGGUAAGCUGGGGCGCGGCAGAGGGGGACGGAAUGCCGGGUGUAGUGGUGAAAUGCGUAGAGAUCCGGCGGAACACCGGUGGCGCAGGCGGUCCCCUGGGCCGAGGCCGACGCUGAGGCGCGAGAGCGCGGGGAGCGAACCGG
rnacentral:rRNA from 1 species